GAUGAACGCUGGCGGCGUGCCUAAUACAUGCAAGUCGAGCGAACAGACGAGGAGCUUGCUCCUCUGACGUUAGCGGCGGACGGGUGAGUAACACGUGGAUAACCUACCUAUAAGACUGGGAUAACUUCGGGAAACCGGAGCUAAUACCGGAUAAUAUAUUGAACCGCAUGGUUCAAUAGUGAAAGACGGUUUUGCUGUCACUUAUAGAUGUAUCCGCGCUGCAUUAGCUAGUUGGUAAGGUAACGGCUUACCAAGGCCACGAUGCGUAGCCGACCUGUGAGGGUGAUCGGCCACACUGGAACUGAGACGCGGUCCAGACUCCGACGGGAGGCAGCAGUAGGGAAUCUUCCGCAAAGGGCGAAAUCUUGACGGAGCAACGCCGCGUGAGUGAUGAAGGUCUUCGGAUCGGAAAACUCUGUUAUUAGGGAAGAACAAAUGUGUAAGUAACUAUGCACGUCUUGACGGUACCUAAUCAGAAAGCCACGGCUAACUACGUG
rnacentral:rRNA from 1 species